UACGUAGGGACCAAGCGUUGUUCGGAUUUACUGGGCGUAAAGGGCGCGUAGGCGGCAAUUCAAGUCAGCUGUGAAAUCUCCGAGCUUAACUCGGAACGGUCAGCUGAUACUGUUUUGCUAGAGUACAGAAGGGGCAAUCGGGAAUUCUUGGUGUAGCGGUGAAAUGCGUAGAUAUCAAGAGGAACACCUGAGGUGAAGACGGGUUGCUGGGCUGAUACUGACGCUGAGGCGCGAAAGCUAGGGUAGCAAACGGG
rnacentral:rRNA from 1 species